rnacentral:rRNA from 1 species
GACGAACGCUGGCGGCGUGCUUAACACAUGCAAGUCGAACGGAAAGGCCCUGCUUGCGGGGUACUCGAGUGGCGAACGGGGGAGUAACACGUGGGUGAUCUGCCCUGCACUUCGGGAUAAGCCUGGGAAACUGGGUCUAAUACCGGAUAGGAGCCAUUUUUAGUGUGACGGGUGGAAAGUUUUUUCGGUGUAGGAUGAGCUCGCGGCCUAUCAGCUUGUUGGUGGGGUAAUGGCCUACCAAGGCGGCGACGGGUAGCCGGCCUGAGAGGGUGGACGGCCACAUUGGGACUGAGAUACGGCCCAGACUCCUACGGGAGGCAGCAGUGGGGAAUAUUGCACAAUGGGCGCAAGCCUGAUGCAGCGACGCCGCGUGGGGGAUGACGGCCUUCGGGUUGUAAACUCCUUUCGCUAGUGACGAAGCUUUUUUUGACGGUACCUAUAUAAGAAGCACCGGCUACCUACUU